GGUUGGAUAGCUCAACUGGAUAGAGCAUCUGCCUUCUAAGCAGAGGGUUCUGGGUUCGAGUCCCAGUUCGACCACCA
rnacentral:tRNA from 2 species